rnacentral:rRNA from 1 species
GACGAACGCUGGCGGCGUGCUUAACACAUGCAAGUCGAACGGAAAGGCCCUGCUUGUGUGGGGUGCUAGAGUGGCGAACGGGUGAGUAACACGUGAGUAACCUGGCCUUGACGUGGGGAUAACUUCAGGAAACUGGGGCUAAUACCGGAUAGGAGCUCCUGCUGCAUGGUGGGGGUUGGAAAGUUUCGGCGGUUGGGGAUGGACGCGCGGCUUAUCAGCUUGUGGGGGGGGUAGUGGCUUACCAAGGCUUUGACGGGUAGCCGGCCUGAGAGGGUGACCGGCCACAUUGGUACUGAGAUACGGCCCAGACUCCUACGGGAGGCAGCAGUGGGGAAUAUUGCACAAUGGGCGGAAGCCUGAUGCAGCAACGCCGCGUGCGGGAUGACGGCCUUCGGGUUGUAAACCGCUUUCGCCUGUGACGAAGCGUGAGUGACGGUAAUGGGUAAAGAAGCACCGGCUAACUACGUG